GACGAACGCUGGCGGCGUGCUUAACACAUGCAAGUCGAACGGAAAGGCCCUGCUUUUGUGGGGUGCUCGAGUGGCGAACGGGUGAGUAACACGUGAGUAACCUGCCCUUGACUUUGGGAUAACUUCAGGAAACUGGGGCUAAUACCGGAUAGGAGCUCCUGCUGCAUGGUGGGGGUUGGAAAGUUUCGGCGGUUGGGGAUGGACUCGCGGCUUAUCAGCUUGUUGGUGGGGUAGUGGCUUACCAAGGCUUUGACGGGUAGCCGGCCUGAGAGGGUGACCGGCCACAAUGGGACUGAGAUACGGGCCAGACUCCUACGGGAGGCAGCAGUGGGGAAUAUUGCACAAUGGGCGGAAGCCUGAUGCAGCAACGCCGCGUGCGGGAUGACAGCCUUCGGGUUGUAAACCGCUUUCGCCUGUGACGAAGCGUGAGUGACGGUAAUGGGUAAAGAAGCACCGGCUAACUACGUG
rnacentral:rRNA from 1 species